rnacentral:rRNA from 1 species
GAUGAACGCUAGCGGCAGGCUUAAUACAUGCAAGUCGAGGGGCAGCACGAAUAGCAAUAUUUGGUGGCGACCGGCAAACGGGUGCGGAACACGUACGCAACCUUCCCAAAACAGGUGAAUAGCCCUGCGAAAGUAGGAUUAAUACACCGUAAGAUAUAGAUGUGGCAUCAUAUUUAUAUUAUAGGUCGCAAGAUCGGUUUUGGAUGGGCGUGCGCCUGANAGGUAGUUGGUGCGGGUAACGGCCCACCAAGCCUCCGAUCAGUAACUGGUGUGAGAGCACGACCAGUCACACGGGCACUGAGACACGGGGCCCGACUCCUACGGGAGGCAGCAGUAAGGAAUAUUGGUCAAUGGACGAAAGUCUGAACCAGCCAUGCCGCGUGCAGGAAUGAAGGCCCUCUGGGUUGUAAACUGCUUUUAUCUGGGACGAAAAAGGGAAUUCUUUCUCACUUGACGUACCAGAGGAAUAAGCACCGGCUAACUCCGUGCCA